rnacentral:lncRNA from 1 species
CUCACCUCCACCGCUAUUCUUUACUCCUUUUUUUUUUUUUUGCUCUUUUCCUCUCCCCUCUUCCCCUUAUCUCACGACCUCUAUGCCUUCACUCUAAUUUUAUCGUCACUAGAAGACGACCACUGGAAGAUCAUGAUUGAGCAGAAUUCACAAUGAUGACAGCAACACUACGAACCGUAACAGGUGGUGCUCGUGGUAGCGACGGCGACUCGAAGAAAUCGACUCACGACUGUGGGGAACAUGGUGGCCCGACGAUUACAGUCGGUGAUUUGGUGUGGAUCUAGGGUAAAUGUGGUGGUGGUGGUUUUGAUUUUAAAUUUAAUGUAGAUAUGGUGGUGAAAAUCGACGCACGAUCGUGAGAAGAUAGUGGUCUGACGGCUGCAGUCGACGAUUUGGUGUGGUGGCAGUAGUGUUAAUGGCUUUGGAGGUUGUGAAUUGGUAGAGGCUCUAUUGAAUCGACUAAGUGGUGCUGGCGUGGUGUUGUCGUAGUGGUGAUAAAGUAGUGGUGAUGGAUGUUGAUUUGUUUGAGAUAGAGAUGGCGGUGUUGUUGCAGAUUGUCUUGAAAUGGCGGUGAUGGGUAGUUACUAUGAUGCUAUGGGUGUAAUGGUACGGUGGUUUGGUGCGCGGUGGUGGGGAAUGGAGGUGUGGUGGGUGCAACAGUGAUGUGCUACCUCGAUGCUGUGGGUGCGAUGGUGGUAUGGUGAUUGGGUGUGUGGUGUGGUGUGGUGUUGUUCGCUGUUAUGUGGUGGUGGUGACGACGGUGAGGUAGUUCUGGCAGCAGCUGUUGGAAGUGGUGGGG